UGCACAGCCGCCUCAGGUCGCUCGCUGGCUGGCUUUAUUACAAUGUUGUAAUGUGAAAGUGGAGCUAGAGAAAGAGCUGCAAUGGCAGUAGAGAAAACCCAAGAGAAAUGAAGAGGCAGGCAAAGGGAUAAUCGGAAAAGAAAAUAUAUUGGGUUUUUGUUCCCUCAUUACAAGAGUCAGCCUAUGCAGGACUUUCACAGUAGAGAAAAACACUCAAGCUUCCUGCCCAUUUCCGUAUCCACCCUACCUUCCAUGUCUCACAAGUAAAGCCCGUCGCCUUGAGUGCCUUGUCCCCCCUACUGUUCAGCCUCCGCCGCCGCCACUGUCGGUCGACGGGGGGCCGGUUUAUAAAGUGGAGCGGCUUUUGGACGUCCGCCGCCGAGGCCGUAGGGUCCAAUACUUGGUGGACUGGUAGGGCUAUGGCCCGGAAGAGCGGUCCUGGGUCCCGGCCCGGUGGGUGUUGUCCCGAGAGCUAAUCUGGGAUUUCCACCGGGAUUUCCACCGCACCCAUCCCGGGCCUCUGCCCCUCCCUCCUGAAACUUGGCCCACUUGGGGCAGGCGUGCAUGAGUUUUCUGAUUGCAGGUUGAAUGCCAGACGGGUGGAGCAGCCACAGGUGCAGGCUAUCACAAUCAGCAGCCUUGAAAAAGCCAGUGGACGCCUCACCUCCUCGCCAGAUCAACUCGUCUAGUUCUGCUGACCUGUUUGUGCACGCCCCUUGUCGGAUCUCCACGCCUGUCUCCCCCACCCCCCCACCCCCCCACCGAGCUUUUCCUGCCUCACGUCGGUCUGGAUCUCGCCAGCAACGCCCGAAGAAUAAACAAAAACAUUUUUGUUCUCACAGCCUGUCGUCCCGUUGUCUGCUUUGGGAUCCUCUCCCAUCCACGAACCCUAACAUCCUCACUCUAUAUUCCAGCGGAUAAAUUGUACAUGACAAAUUGAGUCGGAAGUCCUACGCAGAGAUUCUAAAAAAAAAAAAAAAAGGUUUCACAAGGUGAAAAUUUAUCGAAAUUUUGAAAUUUCCUUGUUCAAUUUUCCGAUUCAAAGUUAUAUCAUUUUGAAAUAAAUUUCACAAAGAGUAAAAAAAAAGAUUUUUUAAAGGGUACUUCACCUAGAGGUUAUGAAUAAUCGUAAAGUAUUGCAUAACA